UUCGCAAUGCCCGAAAGGGUGACGAAGCGACGCCGCGUGCGGGAAGAAGGCCUUCGGGUUGUAAACCGCUGUCGGGAGUUAAGAAAUGCAAGGGUGUUAACAGCAUCCUUGCUUGACUAAGGCUCCGGAGGAAGCCACGGCUAACUCUGUGCCAGCAGCCGCGGUAAUACAGAGGCGGCAAGCGUUGUUCGGAAUUAUUGGGCGUAAAGAGCACGUAGGCGGCCGUGUAAGUCGGUUGUGAAAGCCUUCCGCUCAACGGGAGAACGGCAUCCGAUACUGCAUGGCUUGAGUGCGGGAGGGGAGAGUGGAACUUCUGGUGGAGCGGUGAAAUGCGUAGAUAUCAGAAGGAACACCGGCGGCGAAGGCGACUCUCUGGCCCGUAACUGACGCUGAGUGUGCGAAAGCUAGGGGAGCAAACGGGAUUAGAUACCCCGGUAGUCCUAGCCGUAAACGAUGGGCACUAAGUAGAGGGGUUUU
rnacentral:rRNA from 2 species